GGCCCAAUGGUCUAGUGGUAUGAUUCUCGCUUUGGGUUCACCGCCUUAUCUGCGAGAGGCCCCGCGUUCGAAUCGCGGUUGGGCCC